CCUACGGGAGGCAGCAGUGAGGAAUAUUGGUCAAUGGGCGUGCGCCUGAACCAGCCAAGCCGCGUGAGGGAAGAAGGUACAGCGUAUUGUAAACCUCUUUUGUCAGGGAACAAAGGCGGGGACUAGUCCCCGGAUGAGGGUACCUGGAGAAAAAGCAUCGGCUAACUCCGGGCCAGCAGCCGCGGUAAUACGGAGGAUUCGAGCGUUAUCCGGAUUUAUUGGGUUUAAAGGGUGCGGAGGCGGCCUGUUAAGUCAGCGGUAAAAGCCCGGGGCUCAACCCCGGCGAGCCGUUGAAACUGGCGGGCUGGAGUGGGAGAGAAGUACGCGGAAUGCGCGGUGUAGCGGUGAAAUGCUUAGAUAUCGCGCAGAACCCCGAUUGCGAAGGCAGCGUACCGGCUCCACACUGACGCUGAGGCACGAAAGCGUGGGUAUCGAACAGGAUUAGAUACCCCGGUAGUC
rnacentral:rRNA from 1 species